rnacentral:rRNA from 1 species
CUACCCUUGACAUGGCAGGAAUCCCGAAGAGAUUUGGGAGUGCUCGCAAGAGAACCUGCACACAGGUGCUGCAUGGCUGUCGUCAGCUCGCGUCGUGAGAUGUUGGGUUAAGUCCCGCAACGAGCGCAACCCUUGUCAUUAGUUGCUACGAAAGGGCACUCUAAUGAGACUGCCGGUGACAAACCGGAGGAAGGUGGGGAUGACGUCAAGUCCUCAUGGCCCUUAUGGGUAGGGCUUCACACGUCAUACAAUGGUACAUACAGAGGGCCGCCAACCCGCGAGGGGGAGCUAAUCCCAGAAAGUGUAUCGUAGUCCGGAUUGUAGUCUGCAACUCGACUACAUGAAGUUGGAAUCGCUAGUAAUCGCGGAUCAGCAUGUCGCGGUGAAUA